AUGGCAGUGGAAAAUUUCCAGGUUCCCUUUACAAAGUUGAACUCUGCUAAUUACGUGCAGUGGUCUAAGAGGGCUCAAGUCUGGUUGGAAGCCAAAGAAGUGUGGACUGACUAUGUCCAGAGGCGAAAGCCGUUUGUGGCUGUUGCAGCAGAUGCCACAGCAGAGCAACAGGCUGCUGCACAUGCUCAGAACAGGGAACAUGAUAAAAUGGACACUAAAGCUAGAUGCAUGUUGAUGGUAUCGAUAGACGAUUCCCAAUUACCUUAUGUGGAAAAUUUAAGGUCUGCAUUUGAAAUUUGGGAAGCUCUUAGGCGAAUUCACCAUAGAGCCACGCCCGGAGAGAAGGUGAACAUUAUACGUGCUUUGUAUGAGUUGAAACUGAAGCCAGGGGAUAGUGUGGUUGAACACACGUCACAGAUGACUGAGUAUUUCAACCGACUGUCAUCUCUAGGUGUGAAUUUUCCUGAAAAUAUUAAAGUUUAUACUCUGCUUAGCAGCCUGCAUGCAGGGUUUGAAAACUUAGUACUAACUUUACAAGUUUUGCCAGAGGACCAGCUGAAUAUGAAUUAUGUGACUGGUAGAUUGUGUGAGCAAGAAUAUCAACAUCAUCGAAAACGUAUUGAUAAUUCAAAUACCCCAAGGGUUGGAUGUUCAGAUAAUUCCCAGUGUGGGGGAACUAGCAGGCAGAGCUGUAAGGAAGCCUCACAAGUGUCUGCUAUGGCCAGCAAGUCAUGUUUUCGAUGUGGCAGCAGGUUUCAUUUGAUAGCAAAGUGUCCAGAAAAGCAACAGGAAUUUCAACAGUCCAAGGCCAGUUUCCGGAGCUACAGGGGAAGACGACGUGAGAACUACAAGAAUCAACGAUCCAGAGGGGGAGCAGGUGCUGAUAAGGGACUAUCUGCAAUGGCAGCACAACAGAGUCCUAAAAGGAGCCAACAAACCUUGAAGUGGAUAAUUGACAGUGGAGCAAGUCACAGUUUAGUUCCAGCGACAUCUAGUGGCAGCUUGAUGAACUGCAAGACAUUGCCAGUUGCAAAAACCGUGACUAUAGCAGACAAUAGUAAACGAGAAAUGAACCUUAAAGGCACAAUUUAUGUUAACUGUUUGCAAACUAACCUUCCUGUUUUUGUUCUUCCAGGAAUGAAGAAUGGACUUUUGAGUGUGUCAUGCCUGGUAAAAAGUGGUUUUAAGGUUGAGUUUGAAAAUGAUGUGUGCACCAUUUCAAAACAGGGGAAGGAGCUAGUUAAAAUUCCCUGUGAGGAUGGGCUCUUUGUUUUGGAUGAAGAGCAGUUAGCAGCAGGUAGAUGUUCAACAGGUGAAGCGCAAGCUAAGUGUGUAAAUAAGGCUCCUCAUACAGGUUGUGCACAUCUACUACACAGAAGGUUAGCUCAUAUAUGCUUUAAGUAUGUAAGCAAGAUGCCAGAUUUAGCUGAGGAGUGUAACAUUAAACCCUGUCCAAAUUUUCUGGAUUGUUGUGCUUGUAAACAUGCUAAGGUUAAGACAUGUAACUAUCCUAGAUCUGAUAGAGUAAGCAAGAAACCCUUUGAACUUGUGCACACAGACGUGUGUGGCCCUAUGCCAGUCAAAUCGCUUGGAGGUGCGAGAUUUAUGCAAAUUUUGGUGGAUGAUUUUUCAAGGGCUAGUUGGGUUUUCUUUCUGAAAGAAAAAUCACAAGCAGCUUCCAUCCUGAUGGAUUGGAUUGAAGAAGUUGAAUGUAAAUUUGACACCAGGGUACGUAAAAUACAAUCAGAUCGUGGUGGGGAAUAUGUGAACCACACGCUGGAGACGUGGUUAAAAAGGAAAGGUAUAGUUCAUAGACUUACCAAUCCCUAUUCACCACAAGAGAAUGCAGUUGCCGAAAGAAAAUUUCGUACAUUACAGGAAGCCAUUACUGCUUUGCUGUUUGAUUCUGGACUUCCACAGCGUUUUUGGGCUGAGGCUGCACUGUAUGCGAAUUAUACUUUUAACAGAGUGUACAAUAGCACAGUAGGCAACACUCCUUACUUCAUGCUAUUUGGGAAAAAACCAAAAAUUGAUCAUCUAAGAGUUUUUGGAUGUCGUGCUUAUGUGCUGGUGCCUAGGGCACAACGUAGGAAAGGCGAUCCUAGAUCUAAAGAAAUGUUUUUCUGUGGUUAUCAAGCAAACACAAAAGGUUGGAGAUUUGUGAAUGUAGAAGGCAAUCAAACGAAAAUCACAAUCAGCAGAAGUGCGGAAUUUUGUGAACAGGAUGGUUGGAAUAAAAUUCAUGGAAAUCCUGACAUACUAUUUGAUGUGGUGAACAGUAACAAUGAAACUCAGGCCCCCGAGCAGGUAUUAGUUCCAGAACAGGCUGAGGAAUUUGAGCCUGAGGACGAGGGUGAGAAAUCGUCUAGUUCACCCAAGUCUGUAAAAUCAGAAUCUUCUAGCUCUAAAAGUUCACCUGUACAGCAAGAGAGACAUGUAAAGUCAGAAUCAGAAAGUUCUUCAACUACUAGUGACAAACAGGUGACAACUAGUGAUUCUGGGUCAGAGGGGGAAACUGAAGGAACAUCGCAGGAACUGUUAAGGCGUUCCAAGCGUACCAACAAAGGUAAACCUCCUGAAAGGUACCAAGCUAUUAGUGUUUGGGCUGGUUUGGCAAAUUGCGAACCUGAAAGUUUUGAGGCGGUUGAGCAGUUACCCCAGGAGGAGGCCAGUAGGUGGCGUGAGGCCAUGCAAAAGGAGUUGAAUUCUAUGAAAGAACUGGGUGUGUUUUCCAUCACCAAACUGCCAGAAGGUACCAAGGCAGUAAGUUGUAGGUGGGUGUACAGGAUAAAGACAACAGCGAUGGGGAAACCAGAGUACAAAGCAAGGCUUGUAGCUCGAGGUUUUACACAAAGAGAGGGGUUACAUUAUUCCGAAGUCUAUGCACCCACUUCAAGGAGUGAAACCCUACGGGCACUAUUAGCAGUUGCUGCUCAGAAAGGGUUCAAAGUGAAUCAAUUUGAUGUCUCUACAGCUUAUCUUCAUUCAGACUUGGCUGAAGAGCUCUAUAUGGAGCUACCGCCAGGAUUGAAAGUUGGUAAAUCAAAUCAGGUAUGGAAACUACAUAAAUCUAUUUAUGGACUCAAGCAAUCUGCUCAUAAUUGGAAUGAGUGUUUGAAUGACGUUUUGGUAGGCAUUGGUUUUAGCAGGAGCAAGGCUGACAAUUGCUUAUAUUUCAGAGGUUCAGGAGAUGCUCAAGAAUCUUUGCUUGUUUAUGUAGAUGACCUGAUUUAUACUUCAAAGACACAAGAACAAGUAAAAAAACUAGCCAAAGAGUUAAAUAAACACUUCAAAGUUAAGAAUCUUGGUGAUGUGAAGGUCUAUCUUGGUGUUCAGAUAGAUAGGACAAAAAAUGGCAGUUUUCUACUGAAUCAAAAAGACAAGAUAUUGCAAAUGUUGAAAAAGUUUGGCAUGAUGGAAUGUGCAGGCGUUAGAACACCAAUGGAAAUGGGUUUUGUAAAAGACAAUGAGUUCAAGGAUAGUGCUGAAUUCAAGCGUGCUGAAAUCUUUCAGUCAGCACUGGGAAGCUUACUUCAUCUUUCGCAAUGGAGUAGACCGGAUAUUGCUUACGCUGUUAACUUACUCAGCAGAGAAGCUUCAAAACCUAGUGUAAAUGCAUGGAAAGGAAUUCAAAGAGUGUUAAGAUAUUUACAAUACACCAAAGAUUUUUGCCUUGAAUUAUCUUCGGAAGGACAAGCACAGAUUACUUGUUGGGCAGAUAGUGAUUGGGCAAAUUUAAAGGAUAGAAAAUCAGUGUCUGGCUGUGUAAUAAAAUUUGGUAACUCUCUGAUUGGGUGGAGAUCCAAGAAACAGAACCUGAUUGCUUUGUCGUCAACAGAAGCUGAGUUCUGUGCCUUAUCUGAGUUAUGUAGAGAUCUAGAAUUUUACAAAUGCUUGGCACAAGAGAUGUAUGAAAAGGCCAUCACUCUAAUCACUGUAUGGGGUGAUAAUCAACCAUGUCUUAAGUUAGCACAAAAUGGGCAGUUUAAAGGUCGUACAAAACAUUUGGAUAUCCGCUUUCAAAAUGUUUGUCAAACGGUAAAAGCAGGAAUUGUUAAAUUAAAUUACUGUCCCAGUCAUGAAAAUCAAGCUGAUGGUUUUACAAAACCACUUGGGUUUCAGCGGCAUGAAAACUUUUGUGAAGAAAUGGGUCUGAAGUAA
ensembl:lncRNA